rnacentral:rRNA from 1 species
AACCAGGACUUCGGUCCUGGGGAAAGCGGCGAACGGGUGCGUAACACGUGAGCAACCUGCCCCGAAGACCGGGACAAGCCGGGGAAACCUGGUCUAAUACCGGAUGUCCUCGAAUGAUCGCAUGGUCGAUCGAGGAAAUGGAUUCCGCUUCGGGAUGGGCUCGCGGUCUAUCAGCUUGUUGGUGGGGUAACGGCCUACCAAGGCGACGACGGAUAGCUGGUCUGAGAGGACGAUCAGCCACACCGGGACUGAGACACGGCCCAGACUCCUACGGGAGGCAGCAGUGGGGAAUCUUGCGCAAUGGGGGAAACCCUGACGCAGCGACGCCGCGUGCGGGAUGAAGGCCUUCGGG